AUUCAUUUAAAAAAAUCACAUUUAUUUAAUUUCAAAUUAUCACAUAAAUAAAGUCUUAUAGCAGUCCAAAGCAUGAAUUGAUGGUUAAGGUAUCUAUACAUUGUAGAUUAUUGCAGUGUAACCCACUUUUGAAUCAUACCUCAACUCAUAAAGUUGAUCCUUGAACAUUUCUGUAUUCAAGUCAGACCACCAAUGAACUAUUGAAGGCAAGUUGCCCAUCAAUAACAAAAUUUUGAAGGGAAAAAUUGUAAAAUAUUUUUAUGAUACACAUAUACUGAUUAAAAACUACUAAUCUGCUUCAUAUUGAGACAAAAUAUAUAGAAAAAAUAGUUAAAUCAAUUUCAAACUUAUGAACUCCAUCAAAGACAAUAAAUAGCAAUGGCUAGAAUAUCUACACAAAUGGACAGCUCAUAGAAUGUUAAAUAUUACAAAAUAUCUUUGACUCUUUAAGCAUCAGUUCUAAUAUUCUAUUGAUAAAGUUUAUCCUUGACUAGCCUAGUGAAAAAAAAGGUGUCCUCAACGUUACGUUGGUGAUGGCUACAGAGUAGAGAAUAGAACAAGUUUAAACAUUGAAAAUACAUUUAUAAAGAAUCUGAAACUUCAUACAUACUUUUGUACUUCAUGUUUACACUCCAUACUCAGACACUGAAAUCUAAUACUUAAUGUCUUUAUAAUAACUUAAGAGUUGAACAAAUACAAUGUGGCUGUAUAUUUUCUGUGUACCAAUUAUUUCAUAGUAGUGAUUAGUCUUUACUUUUUUAUUCUUCGGAUAUUUAAUUAUUUUAAAUUAAAUGAAUUAAAAAAGAAAGCUGCAUUGAACAUUUGUAUCUGUAACCAAUUCAUAUCAUUUGUCAAUUAUUUGACAAGCUAUUUAAUAAAACAGUGAUGUCAAUAUAAAUAACAACCCAAUAUUUCCAUUCACUAAAAACAAUCUACAUAAGUGACUGAGAUUUUUUUUUUAUGUCUGUACCAGUACUAUAAAAUACUACAUAGGAAACAAAAAAAUGUACAGCACUGGUUUUUUUUGUAACUUAAAGUUUGAGAGGUUGAGUUAAACUAUGUCCAUCUAAUUUAAAUUAAGUUGAAUAAAACAGAUAAUUAAGACCUAAACAAGUAAUGAAAUGUGCACAUUAUAAACUUCUUUCAAUAAUUGUGCCCACACAGUGACUGAAGACUCACACUGUCACUUUCAAAGUGGGAAAGGAAGAAAAUUUAUUAAAAAAAAACAAAAAAACCAACACAAUGCAAGGUCAUUAUAAAAUGAUCUGAACAUAACAUGGACAUUACUUCAAGAAGGAACUUUUUUUUUAAAAUCUCGACUUAUCUCUCCCCCCCCCCCCCUCC